ACGAACGCUGGCGGCGUGCUUAACACCUGCCAGUCGAACGGAAAGGCCCUGCUUUUGUGGGGUGCUCGAGUGGCGAACGGGUGAGUAACACGUGAGUAACCUGCCCUUGACUUUGGGAUAACUUCAGGAAACUGGGGCUAAUACCGGAUAGGAGCUCCUGCUGCAUGGUGGGGGUUGGAAAGUUUCGGCGGUUGGGGAUGGACUCGCGGCUUAUCAGCUAGUUGGUGGGGUAGUGGCUUACCAAGGCUUUGACGGGUAGCCGGCCUGAGAGGGUGACCGGCCACAUGGGGACUGAGAUACGGCCCAGACUCCUACGGGAGGCAGCAGUGGGGGAUAUUGCACAAUGGGCGGAAGCCUGAUGCAGCAACGCCGCGUGCGGGAUGACGGCCUUCGGGUUGUAAACCGCUUUCGCCUGUGACGAAGCGUGAGUGACGGUAAUGGGUAAAGAAGCACCGGCUAACUACGUG
rnacentral:rRNA from 1 species